rnacentral:lncRNA from 10 species
GGAAUGCUUUCAACUUUUCCCUGCAAGUAUGAUGUGGCCAUGGGUCUGUCCUAAACAGCCUUUAUUAUGUUGAGAUAUGUUCCAUUUAUGCCUAAGUUGCUGAGAAUUUUUAUCAUGAAAGGAUGCUGAAUUAUAUUGAAACUUUUUUCUAUUUCCAUUGAAAUGAUCCUAAGUAUUUUGUCCUUAAUUCUAUGUGAUGCAUCACAUUUAUUGAUUGAAUGGAUGGUUUGUUUAUUCAUUGAAGGAUGGUUGAACCAUCCUUGCAUCCUUGGGACAAAUCUCACCUGAUCAUGAUGUAUUAUCUGUUUGAUGUGCUGUUGGAUUUUACUUGCUAGUAUUUUAUUGAGGGUUUUUGUAUCUAUGUUCACUAGGGAUAUUGGUCUGUAGUAUUGUUUCCUUGUUGUGUCCUUGUCUGGUUUGGGUAUCAUUGUGGUACUGGACUUGUACAAUGGUGAGGGAGAAUUUCACUUUCCUUGAUUUUUUGGAAUAGUUUCAGGAGGACUGAUAUUCAUUGUAUGUCUGGUAGAAUUUGGCUGUGAAUCCAUCUGGUAUUGGGCUUUAUUUUGGUUGGGAAAUGUUCAACUCAUCACUCAUUACUGGUCUAUUCAGGAGUUCUAUUUCUUCCUAGUUCAAUAUCAGGCAGUUAUGUGUUUCCAGGAAUUUAUCCAUUUCCUCUAAGUUUUGUUGUUUGUGAGACUAUAGUUGUUCAUAUUGUAUCUGAUGAUCUUUUGUAUUUUUGUGGUAUCAGUUGUAAUGUCUACUUCUUCAUUUCUGGUUGUAUUUAUUUGGCUCUUCUUUCCUUGGUUAGUUUAGCUAGUAGUUUAUUAACUUUUUUAUCUUUUCAAAGACUCAACUGCUCAUUUCAUUGAUUCUUUGUAUUCUUUAAAUCUGAAUUUCAUUUCAUUCUGCUCUGAUCUUUGUUAUUUCCUUUUUUCUGCUAACUUUGGGUUUGGUUUGUUCUUUUUUUAGUUUCUUGAGGUGCAAUUUAAGUUAUUAACUUGUGAUCUUUCUACUUUUUUGAUGUAGGCUUUUAAUGCUAUAAACUUUCCUCUUAGCACUGCUUUUGCUGUAUCCCACAGGUUUUGGUAUGUUGUGUUUCCAUUUUCAUUUACUUCAAAAAAUUUUUAAAUUUCCAACUAUACCUCUUCAUUGACACAGUGAUCAUUCAGGCAUGCCGUUUAAUUUCCAUGUACGUGUAUAUUUACCAGACUGCGUUGGCAUUGAUUUCUGACUUUAUUCCAGUGUAAUCUGAGUAAGUACUUGAUAUGAUUUUGAUUUUUUACAAUCUGUUAAUACUUAUUUUUGGCCUAAUAUUUGGUCUAUCUUAGAGAAUAUUCCAUGCGAUUGUGAAAAUAAUGCAUAUUCUCUAUUUAUUAGGUAGAAUGUUUUAUAAAUGUCUAUUAAGUCAAUUUGUUCUGAAGUCCAAUUUAAGGCCAAUGUUUCUUUGUUAAGUUUCUACCUCAAUGAUCUGUCUAGUGCUGUUAGUGGGAUAUUAAAACUCUCUACUGUUAUUGCAUAAUGGCCUCCUUCAUCUUCUU